rnacentral:rRNA from 1 species
ACGUAGGGGGCAAGCGUUAUCCGGAUUUACUGGGUGUAAAGGGAGCGUAGACGGCUCUGCAAGUCUGGAGUGAAAACCCGGGGCUCAACCCUGGGACUGCUUUGGAAACUGUGGAGCUUGAGUACCGGAGGGGUAAGCGGAAUUCCUAGUGUAGCGGUGAAAUGCGUAGAUAUUAGGAGGAACACCAGUGGCGAAGGCGGCUUACUGGACGGUAACUGACGUUGAGGCUCGAAAGCGUGGGGAGCAAACAG